GUUUUUUAAUUGGAAACUAGUAUGAAUGGUCAUACGAGGGAUUGACUUUCUUUAUCUUACUUAAAUUAAUUUUAUUUUUCUGUGAAAAAGCAGAGAUUUCAUUAGUAGACGAUAAGACCCUUUAAAACUUUAUUCAUUAUAGAAGUAUAAUUUGUUAGGUUUUAAUAGUGUACUUUUUUAAUGAGUUUUGUUGGGGCGACAGGUAAAUUUAUUUAACUUUAUUUUUGUUUUCACUAAUUAGUGUUUAUUUGAUCCAGUUUUGAUUAUAAGUUUAAGUUACUUAAGGGAUAACAGCGUAAUCUUGUUGGAGAGUUCUUAUUGAUGGCGAGGUUUGCGACCUCGAUGUUGGAUUAA
rnacentral:rRNA from 1 species